rnacentral:lncRNA from 1 species
CCCACAGCCUAGGCCAGGGCUAAUUAGACGCAGCAGCCGCCUGCUUAGCUGCAUAGUGUGCUGCUAAGUGACCGCAUGAGGCUUGGCAGUGUGGGAAUCCAGGGCUGCAUCAUCAGGGACCAGAAAUGAACCACAGGGUCUGCAGAUAAAGGACUGAGAACUACAUGGCACCAUUCAGGUGGAGUAACUGACCAGUACUGUGGCUGCCCAUCACCCACCUGUUCCAGGGACCACAGAUCUUGACAGAGAAGAAGGACCACUGCCCAGGGAACACCAGCUCUGCAGGGUGGGAAGGGGGUGCAGCCUGUCUUUGGCCCACCCAGAAGAGCCAUCUCUACCCUGGGACGUGAAUAUACUGCAGGACCAGAUUGGGCGGCACUGGCCAGCACCAACCAGCCCUGGGACUCUUGUUCGACACCUGCCUCUUAUGGGAGCUGCUGAGCUGAGGGCACAGCAUGGCUGGCAACCAACUUUUCCUGACCUGGCCAGGUCCCACCAUGAAUGAAAAAGUAUUUCCAAUAAGACAAAUCUGAAUCUUCCAUGGCCUGAAACCUGCCAACCAAUCUCUCGACCUUUUGAGACAUGUGUGCCAAUAAAUUCCACUUACUGACAUUUCUUUAUGUUUUCUCACACAGAAAAGCUGAUGCUGAUAACUUCAAGUUUUUAUGUUUUUUCAUACACAGGGUAUAAUUCGUUCUUUAACAUAUUUCUGAACACAUGAUGUCCAGUAGCCACCUCACUGGGCACCUAAGCGUCCAGCUUGCAUGACAGUAAUAACACUCAGAGCUGGUAUGUUUUGGUCAGCACCUUCACCUUCAAAGUUGUGUUUCAAUAAUGGCUGGGAUCCUUAUCCCAAAGAUAGGUUUCAUUUUUUCAUAACAACAAUGAAAACUAAAUAGUUCCAUCAAGCUCAGAAUCAUGAGUAGAAGUGUGUUUGAUUUUAAAGGCUGAUUAAAAACAGUUUGAAGAGAGAUGUCUGAACAGCUUGAUGUCAGCAAGAACCCAG